rnacentral:lncRNA from 1 species
AAGUUAUUUUCUAAUUUUUCCUUAUGGUCAAAAUUGAAUGACCAUAAAUUCUUAAGCAUUAGGUGAUCAAAAGAUCGAAACUUUAUUUUGACGUGAGAAGCACUAUUGCCUCUUUCCCUGGUUGCUUAAAGCUGAAUUGACCCAAUGGCCAAUGAGAUUCAGACUUGAUCGAGAGAAAACCACCCCAUUGUCGGUUCUUGAACACUUGGCAGUUUGAUGUCAUUUUCCUUUGGGCUUUUGACAUUUUCAGAAUCUUCCUUGGUUGUAACUUGUACACAUCGCAACCCCUCACUGACUUGUCGGGCAUCGCUGCACGCUUUUGUUUUCUACUUGACAAUCAAUCAAUUUUCUCAUAGAUAACAUUAUGAAUUAUCGAGAAAAAGACAGGAGACAAUGCACAACUAAUGGCAGCCUACAUCCCCACUACUUACCUGAAUAAAAAAAGAAUACGGCACCAUUCUCUUUUUGGAGAACUUGCAUGGCACGAGUUCAUGACAACUGUAGCGCCCAGUGUUAUUGGUGCAAUGCCUUGUAGAAGGAAAUUUACACAGAACAUUACAUUAUUGAUACAAAACGACAGUGCAACAACAAUAUACUCAUGUCAUGAAAGUCUCUGUUACCUAAAAUGACAGCUGGUCAAAUUAAUUCGUUAUGGAGAUGAUUCCAUCCACAUCCCGUGCCUCUUCAUUUCCCACUGGAUGGAUUGCGUACAUUUAAGUGAACGACUUUAAAUUCCCCUACAAUUUUCCCAUCCCUGCCCACACAAGUUACUACCAACCUUAUCGUUGACAAACCAGUCCCAAGAUACAAAUAUGCACAAAACAAAAAGUGAAAGAUGUUGAAAACAUUGGUAUUGUUAUGAAUGCCCACACACACAUUGUCAAUGCCCUUGCAAGUUGAAAUAGACUUUGGAAACAAAAUGGUUGUUUUUCAAAACAUGCGAUGUAAAUUUCAAACUAUAAGAACUUGUUUGUAUGGAGCCGCUCUAUAAAUAGAGCGCUCCGACUGCAAUUAAAGGAGGUAGAGAGAAUCACGGU